ACGGAGGGUGCAAGCGUUAAUCGGAUUUAUUGGGCGUAAAGAGCACGUAGGCUGAGUGGAAAGUUAGAUGUGAAAUCCCGGGGCUCAACUCCGGACCCGCAACUAAAACUCCCACUCUAGAGGAUGGUCGGAGAAAAGGGAAUUCCACGUGUAGCGGUGAAAUGCGUAGAUAUGUGGAAGAACACCGGUGGCGAAGGCGCUUUUCUAGAUUAUUCCUGACGCUGAGGAGCGAAAGCAAGGGGAGCAAACA
rnacentral:rRNA from 1 species